rnacentral:rRNA from 1 species
GUGGGGAAUCUUCCGCAAUGGACGAAAGUCUGACGGAGCGACGUCGCGUGAGUGAAGAAGGCCUUCGGGUCGUAAAGCUCUGUCAUCAGGGACGAACGGCCGGUGGAGUGGAAAGCCACCGGAUUGACGGUACCUGAGAAGGAAGCCACGGCUAACUACGUGCCAGCAGCCGCGGUAAUACGUAGGUGGCAAGCGUUGUCCGGAAUUAUUGGGCGUAAAGCGCGCGCAGGUGGGAUCUUAAGUCCAUUUUGAAAGUUCGGAGCUCAACUCCGUGAUGGGAUGGAAACUGGGAUUCUUGAGUACCGGAGAGGAAAGCGGAAUUCCCCGUGUAGCGGUGAAAUGCGUAGAUAUGGGGAGGAACACCAGUGGCGAAGGCGGCUUUCUGGACGGUGUCUGACACUGAGGCGCGAAAGCUAGGGGAGCGAACGGGAUUAGAUACCCUUGUAGUCC